ensembl:lncRNA
GCUUCCUCCUCCUGCUGCUUCCUCAUGCAGAGCUCUCUGAUGCACUGAAAUUCAGCUCUAGUGAAGCAGCCCUGCCCCGUCCAGGAAGUCACCCGAGGUGAUGAAGGCAUCCUGACGCCACAAGCGGUGGUGAAUGUCACAGCUGACGCGCCAUGGAGAUGACGUGCAGCUGGCUUUACCGACAGGCUCUGAGGAAACUCACCCGACAGGUUUAGAGUCUGACUAACGUCUGGGAGGGCACUGAUUGACUCUGUACAGUCACACGUCUGACAGGGACACAAAUGAAGACAGCCGCAGCGGUGUCCUGAAGCCUUAGCGAGCAGGCUCGCGCGUGCGUGCGGCUCAUCCCUGGAGCGAGCGCGUUCUGCGCGUGCGUGGGGCAGGGUGUGGCACAUGACUGUAGCGAGUACCAUCUGCUGAGCGGCUUCCGCCACACCACUUCGGCCGCCCACGUGGUGCAUCUUAGAGGCGUCCUAGAGAGUUACCCGCUUUUCUGUGGGGAGGAAUUCAGCCUCAGCGCUGGGAUGCUCCCCGCCUGCUGCUGGGAGGGAGCCAGGCCCACCUGUGCUCCCUUCCUCGGGUCUGGAGCAGCUCUCUCCGCUUUCUGAGGGGCUUGGGUCAGGAGCGGACGGCAGUGAAUAGGAAGAACAGGUCCCGCCGCCUGGGCUGGAGAAGCUGCCGCUCUGCCAGCUCUCAGCGCACUCCUGCGGACCUGUCUGAUCGACGUCCCGCCUGGCCGGGCUGCGGGGCCCCAAGAGUCCAGGAGAGACUUCUGUCACCUGGCGGGGCACAAACCAGCAAACGCUGGCCAGCGCUGGGGCGACAGGUCUGUCCGCGUCGCGCAGGGCCUGGUCCGCCCUCCGUGCGCCCAGAGCUCGCCCCUCACACGGGGCUGCUCCGGCAGCGGCCUCCCGGAGGUUGGGGAAAGACGCUUCUUUCCAGCUCCAUUCGACACCUUGGAACCCAGAGACCUGCACCCGUGGAGAACACCUUAAAAUAAGAUGGAAUUGUAUAACCGUAAGUGUGCUGUAACCCUAAAGUGUGCUGUGACUUUAAGAGUGCUGUAACCUAAGUAUAACACAAUCAUAAGAGUGAUGUGUAACCAUGAGAUAUGAAAGUAAUGAAAGUAGAACCUUAAGUGGUAUGGCACUGAUAAGGGUGUAGCCCAAACUGGACGGGGCGUACCCCGAAUGGGGCAGAGUAUGCCCCAAGCUGGACAGUGUGUUAAGUCUGAACCAAUACCACGAGCGCCCAGCUAAAAUAGUAUAAAAGGAGCUGAAGACCCCAAGCAAGUCGACGAUCCGUCCACCGACCAGUCGGCCAGUCAGUCUGAUGAUCUGACUACCGACCAAGAGACAUCUGCACACCUGAUCCCGCUGGGAGGAGCAUUGCCGCCGACCAGAUGAGACCAGAGGAUGAGGCAAGCGGGGAGACGGAUAGCCUAGCGCCGACUCAACGCCCUUCGUCUACGGAUCGGACCCUCUGACCCCACGGGAGGAAACGUCGCGCUCCCAUAAGGACUUGCGCAGUACAGGAAAAAAACCUUCAUAAUUCAUGGAGCAAGAAGUAAAGUAUUCCAAGAGCACGCCUCAGUUACGAGGAACAUUAACCUGAUCCUUUUAAAACCUUGAAAAGCAAGACUCUCCCCAACAUCAAACUCUUUCUUAAUCACUCCUGAGAACAAAAUUCAAGGAUAUUUCAUAGGAAUACAAAAAUAGCCAGCACUCAAUAAGAGAAUACAGUUUCAAGGACCACCCACUACGUGACGAAACAUGUACAGAACUGGAACAUGAAGACCCCAAAGGAGCCCCUAUGCAGUCCUUCCUUCUGGCAGGUCAGCUCCAAAACUGCCUAUGGCAUUUCUAGGGUCGAAGAACCCACAGCUCCUAUUAACACUGCAUUUGGAAGAAGUACUUGAUACUUCUUUGUGUGUCUGACUGGCCAAAAUCUUGCAAUACAAAUUACUUACCAGCUGUUGCUUUAAAUCCUGGGCUUAAGAACACCAG